rnacentral:lncRNA from 1 species
AUGCAGAUGAGAGCAGGGAGUGGGUCGGCGCAGUGCCGGUGUGGCCAAAACCAUCUGGCAGCAGGGAGAGGAAGAUGCUGGCUGGAGCUGCAGUGCCGAGGAGCUGGCAUCCCUUGCAUUUUUGCUCUCUGCUGGAAGCCUUUCUGUUUGCUUGACAGUGAAUCCUCAGCUCCGGUUUAUCCUUCAGCAGCUUUGUCCUGUCUGGAGGAGGUGGCAGGACUUGUGAGAAGAUCCACAUCCGUGGGGAAAACUGCCUUUGCUAAUUCAGCAGCAUCGCCUGACUGCUCCCUGGGGAGAAGGAAACGGCGAAGUUUCGGGCUGAAGAACUUUAAUUUUUGCAUUCUGAAGCCUCUGCAGGGGUUGCUGGUGUGGAGCAGCCCUGGAGAUCUGAGAUGUUGGCCAGGGGGUGUCCACCAGCCCCCGAGAUGCAUUUUGCACCGUGCUGGACCUGCGUGGUAUUUUUUUGGAGGAGACACCAUCCCCUCCUCUCCCUGCUGUGCCUGGAGGUUUUCCAUGUCCAUGCUGGAGACCGGAGGAUGCUCUGCAUCGCUUCAGAAGACCUCGAGCCCCGUCAUCCCAAUGCCCAAGCACGAACCUCAGCACGGACCACGGUCACUGCUCUGCAAACCUCUGCAGUUGAGAUUUUUCUUCCCACCUUCUGCAUUUUUGCACCCCUUGAGCAGCUUUUUUUUUGAGCAGAUGCUGUGCUGCUUCGCCCCGAGCAGAAGCACUCUGUGUGCACACAGCACGAAACACCUCGCCGUGCCAAAAGCUGCUCCGAAGAGCUGGGUUUUGGGGAGGGAAAGCAAUAUUUGCGACUGCUGGCAUGCUGCUCAGACCUGUAACAACUGCUCCUGCAUGUCCCCUGAAGCUCUGGCAAGAAACGGGACAAAAUCCCUGGAUUUCCGUGCUGUAAUGUGUAACCUCGUUUCCUCCCCUGCUUGCAGGGGAAGCACGUGGAAAUCUGGGUCAUGGUUUUGCUCUAAAGGUGCUUGCACAGCUGGGAAGAAAUAG